rnacentral:rRNA from 1 species
UACGGAGGAGGCAAGCGUUAUCCGGAAUUAUUGGGCGUAAAGCGUCCGCAGGUUGCACUUCAAGUCUGUCGUCAAAGACUGGGGCUUAACCCUGGAAAGGCGGUGGAAACUGAAGCGCUAGAGUGCGGUAGGGGUAGAGGGAAUUCCCGGUGUAGCGGUGAAAUGCGUAGAGAUCGGGAAGAACAUCGGUGGCGAAGGCGACUUCCUGGCCUGUUCUUGACGCUGAGGCGCGAAAGCUAGGGGAGCAAACGGG